rnacentral:rRNA from 1 species
GAUGAACGCUGGCGGCGUGCCUAAUACAUGCAAGUCGAGCGAACAGACGAGGAGCUUGCUCCUCUGACGUUAGCGGCGGACGGGUGAGUAACACGUGGAUAACCUACCUAUAAGACUGGGAUAACUUCGGGAAACCGGAGCUAAUACCGGAUAAUAUAUUGAACCGCAUGGUUCAAUAGUGAAAGACGGUUUUGCUGGCACGUAUAGAUGGAUCCGCGCCGCAUUAGCUAGUUGGUAAGGUAACGGCUUACCAAGGCAACGAUGCGUAGCCGACCUGAGAGGGUGAUCGGCCACACUGGAACUUGGACACGCUCCUUACUCCUACGGGAGGCAGCAGUAUGGUAUCUUCCGCAAUGGGCGAAAGCCUUACGGAGCGACGCCGCGUGAGUUAUGAAAGUCUUCGGAUCGUAAAACUCUGUUAUUAGGGAAGAACCAAUGUGUAAGUAACUAUGCACGUCUUGACGGUACCUAAUCAGAAAGCCACGGCUAACUACGUG